CGGUACCAAAAUUGCAGGCAUCAGGUUUGAAAAACGUUUUUGAUGGACAGGGAUUCCAAAUUUACAACAACGGUAAGGUAGUUAUUAGUGGUAAGAGACGAAGCAACGUAAACAUCGUCAAAUUCACCGUCAACACGGGUGAACAAUUGGCUGACAUACUGACAAAACCACUUCCUGCACCGAGAUUCUUACAACUAAGGACUGAAUUAGGGUUAAAAUAAUAUAAUAAUAAAUGUUCUGUAAAUUGAUUGGUUUGAUUAGGUUUUUCUGGGUUUCCCUAAUCCAAUGCAGUAAAUGCUGAACCAUAUGUAUUUGCCCCAGGAAACAGUCAGAAGGCACAAUAGAUAAAAGAUAUGGAAGUUUAAUAUUUUGAAUAUUGAGUUAGAAUAAGGAGGAUUGAAUUUUGAGGGGGUGUGUUGGAUUUUGGGGAUUUCCCCAUAUACAAAAUUCACUCUUCUCAAUUUUUAUUACUUUAAGUGGUGAUGGUUUAUGGCCAUAUUAUUUGGGGAUUUCCCUUGGUUAUAAAAUCAAGGGAAAUGCCCACAGUUUUCUUUAUUAGUUUUUAUUUUCCUCUGGAUAUUUCUAAGUGUAUCUGUUGGGCAGAGGGUAUAGUAAAUAGUAAGAGGAAAUAUUCCGGGGAGGGGGUGAAAAUUAUAUUACCCUCUUUAGGGCAAGUGGGUCUACCUUGUCUUGCCUAGUUAGUCUCUCGUAGAUUUUUGUACAGUGAAGUACCUUCUGACUGUCUAGAGUUCUUUCAAUUAAAGUUUUUAUAAAUAAAA